GACGAACGCUGGCGGCGUGCUUAACACAUGCAAGUCGAACGGAGAGCUCAUGAAAGAGGUUUCGGCCAAUAGAUUGAGUUUCUUAGUGGCGGACUGGUGAGUAACGCGUGAGGAACCUGCCUUUCAGAGGGGGACAACAGUUGGAAACGACUGCUAAUACCGCAUGAAGCAUUCGAGCGGCAUCGCUUGGAUGUUAAAGAUUUAUCGCUGAAAGAUGGCCUCGCGUCUGAUUAGCUAGUUGGUGAGGUAACGGCCCACCAAGGCGACGAUCAGUAGCCGGACUGAGAGGUUGACCGGCCACAUUGGGACUGAGAUACGGCCCAGACUCCUACGGGAGGCAGCAGUGGGGAAUAUUGGGCAAUGGACGCAAGUCUGACCCAGCAACGCCGCGUGAAGGAAGAAGGCUUUCGGGUUGUAAACUUCUUUGACAGGGGAAGAGCAGAAGACGGUACCCUGAAAACAAGCCACGGC
rnacentral:rRNA from 1 species